rnacentral:rRNA from 1 species
UACCAGCACCCCGAGUGGUCGGGACGUUUAUUGGGCCUAAAGCAUCCGUAGCCGGUUCUACAAGUCUUCCGUUAAAUCCAGCUGCUUAACAGAUGGGCUGCGGAAGAUACUAUGGAGCUAGGAGGCGGGAGAGGCAAGCGGUACUCGAUGGUAGGGGGGUAAAAAUCCGUUGAUCCAUUGAAGACCACCAGUGGCGAAGGCGGCUUGCCAGAACGCGCUCGACGGUGAGGGAUGAAAGCUGGGGGGAGCAA